AUUGAACGCUGGCGGCAUGCCUUACACAUGCAAGUCGAACGGCAGCAUGGAGAGCUUGCUCUCUGAUGGCGAGUGGCGAACGGGUGAGUAAAGCAUCGGAACGUACCGUGUAGUGGGGGACAACGUAGCGAAAGUUACGCUAAUACCGCAUACGCACUGAGGUGGAAAGCAGGGGAUCGUAAGACCUUGCGCUAUACGAGCGGCCGAUGUCAGAUUAGCUAGUUGGUAGGGUAAAGGCCUACCAAGGCGACGAUCUGUAGCGGGUCUGAGAGGAUGAUCCGCCACACUGGGACUGCGACACGGCCCAGACUCCUACGGGAGGCAGCAGUGGGGAAUUUUGGACAAUGGGGGCAACCCUGAUCCAGCCAUGCCGCGUGAGUGAAGAAGGCCUUCGGGUUGUAAAGCUCUUUCGGCCGGGAAGAAAUCGCACAGGCUAAUACCCUGUGUGGAUGACGGUACCGGCAUAAGAAGCACCGGCUAACUACGUGCCAGCCGCCGCGGUAA
rnacentral:rRNA from 1 species